rnacentral:lncRNA from 1 species
GCCGGCCCCUCAGCCCUGCUGCCCAGCAGCAGCCUGUGCUCGCCCUGCCCAACGCAGACAGCCAGACCCAGGGCGGCCCCUCUGGCGGCUCUGCUCCUCCCGAAGGAUGCUUGGGGAGUGAGGCGAAGCUGGGCCGCUCCUCUCCCCUACAGCAGCCCCCUUCCUCCAUCCCUCUGUUCUCCUGAGCCUUCAGGAGCCUGCACCAGUCCUGCCUGUCCUUCUACUCAGCUGUUACCCACUCUGGGACCAGCAGUCUUUCUGAUAACUGGGAGAGGGCAGUAAGGAGGACUUCCUGGAGGGGGUGACUGUCCAGAGCCUGGAACUGUGCCCACACCAGAAGCCAUCAGCAGCAAGACACCAUGCGGCUUCCGGGUGCGAUGCCAGCUCUGGCCCUCAAAG